rnacentral:tRNA from 1 species
GUUUUAAUAAUUUAAUAAUAAAAUAUUAGUCUUGUAAACUAAAAAUAGAGUAAACUUUAAAACU